rnacentral:rRNA from 1 species
GUGGGGAAUCUUAGACAAUGGGGGAAACCCUGAUCUAGCCAUGCCGCGUGAGCGAUGAAGGCCUUAGGGUUGUAAAGCUCUUUCAGCUGGGAAGAUAAUGACUGUACCAGCAGAAGAAGCCCCGGCUAACUCCGUGCCAGCAGCCGCGGUAAUACGGAGGGGGCUAGCGUUGUUCGGAAUUACUGGGCGUAAAGCGCACGUAGGCGGACCGGAAAGUCAGAGGUGAAAUCCCAGGGCUCAACCUUGGAACUGCCUUUGAAACUCCUGGUCUUGAGGUCGAGGGAGGUGAGUGGAAUUCCGAGUGUAGAGGUGAAAUUCGUAGAUAUUCGGAGGAACACCAGUGGCGAAGGCGGCUCACUGGCUCGAUACUGACGCUGAGGUGCGAAAGCGUGGGGAGCAAACAGGAUUAGAAACCCGUGUAGUCC